GCCUCGGUGGUGUAUAGUGGUCAAAACGCUCGCCUGGUAAACAGGAGGGCGUGGGUUCAAUCCCAGCCGAGGUA
rfam:Asian citrus Psyllid, Diaphorina citri - Florida Strain, whole genome shotgun sequence.